rnacentral:ncRNA from 2 species
CGGGCGCGCACGGGAGAGCCUGUGCGGGGGACACCCGCACAGCGCCGAAGGAGCAACCGCCCCGGAAACUCUCAGGCCAACGGACCGUGCGCUGCCA